AUUGAACGCUGGCGGCAGGCCUAACACAUGCAAGUCGAACGGUAACAGGAAGAAGCUUGCUUCUUUGCUGACGAGUGGCGGACGGGUGAGUAAUGUCUGGGAAACUGCCUGAUGGAGGGGGAUAACUACUGGAAACGGUAGCUAAUACCUCAUAACGUCGCAAGACCAAAGAGUGGGACCUUCGUGCCUCUUGCCAUCUGCUGUGCCCAGAUGGGAUUAGCUAGUAGGUGGGGUAACGGCUCACCUAGGCGACGAUCCCUAGCUGGUCUGAGAGGGUGACCAGCCACACUGGAACUGAGACACGGUCCAGACUCCUACGGGAGGCAGCAGUGGGGAAUAUUGCACAAUGGGCGCAAGCCUGAUGCAGACAUGCCGCGUGUAUGAAGAAGGCCUUCAGGUUGUAAAGUACGUUCAGCGGGGAGGAAGGGAGUAAAGUUAAUACCUUUACUCAUUGACGUUACCCGCAGAAGAAGCACCGGCUAACUACGUG
rnacentral:rRNA from 1 species